GCCAGCAAGAAUAUUAAGAUUUGUGCGCUUGUAAUUCUUACCGAUCUUUUGAAAGGUGUUAAUAAAAGAACAGCUUUUACCAGACACAUCCAGGUUUCCAAAACCCAAGAAGACUUCACAGUCAACCUCACACAGAAAUCACCAUUUACCCUAUAGAGGUGGAAACUGGAAACACCGAUGAAUAUUCCCUGCCCUUACUGGCCAUGUCUCUGCAUUCACUGAAGUCCUUCCUACAGCCAGCUUGGGGAAGGCCUGUAUGGAAAGUUCACUCUGUCGUGAACUUGGAGGCCCAUUUCUGAAAGCCCCCAGUCCCUCAGGCCAUGGUCAAGCACAACUGACUCCCCACAAAAGGAUUUCAGUUGCCAGUUUAAUAGUUUUCCCUCAACACAAGAUUAUAUCUUACGGAUAUUCCUGGGCUAACCUAAAGACCAUGAGACAGCCCAAAGGGCAUCUUAAGUACCUAAUCAGAACGCAGCAACCAGGGAAGAGGCCCUUCGACUGGACACCAGGGACAUCGGAAUGGGGUCUAAGGAGGAAUUCUCACCUCCUCUUCCCACUCAUGUUCUGAACCUGCUGGGGGACAACCAGGUACGGCUGGAACCACUUGUCACUGGGGAGGGGGCAGGGGGGACAGGCACAGGGAAACUUCAGCCCCCCCACACCAAUAGUCUUGACUUUAAACCCAUCAGCCCCACUGCACUCGAAGGUGAUGAGCAGGACCCCUCUGUGGGAGCCUGGGAGCUUCCAGACUCGCAGCCAGGGCGCCAGCUGCCCCAGGAAUGAAUGAAGGAGAACACUGGGAGCAGAGAGGGCAGGCAGCAGUCUCUUCCAGUGCAGACGACGAGGACAAGGACGGCCAGGGCUCAGCAGGCCUGGUGCUGUGUGCUAACGGGCAGCACGAGUGUCGUGAGGAUGUAAUGCGGUCAAAGAAACUAGGACCCAAGGGGUGUGGAGCCCCCUGAACUCGGAGGAGCCUGGAGAGGUUGAGAGGCGGCUGGAAUGCGAGGUGGCACGGAGCGCAACAUGGGGCUGAGAGGCCAGGGCUUCAUGCAGAGGAGGUGCUGGGAAGACUUCGGGUUCAGACAGGUUGGGAAGAUGAAGAACAGAAGCUUGGGGGAAGAUACUGGGAAUAAAAAUAAAGUUUUAGGAGCUAAUCACCUGGAAACAGGAUCUGGAGCUGUAGGUCUGAGCUGGAGCCAAGAUGGGUGCUUUCAGAAGGACACUGGCUGCGUUCAGAGAGCAGCAGGAGGGGUGAGGAGCCGAGGGAAGCCCAGGACCCUGACGGAGCCUCCCAGCCCAGGUCCAGGGAGAUGGUGGGGCAAGAGGAUGGGGCAGGCGCUGAGGAAGAAAUCGGAAAGGAAGGGAGGAGGAGGGCUGAGAAAAGAGCCAGGAGCCGCUUCCCAUCACCUCCCAUAG
rnacentral:lncRNA from 1 species